rnacentral:rRNA from 1 species
UACGUAGGGGGCAAGCGUUGUCCGGAAUCAUUGGGCGUAAAGCGCGUGUAGGCGGCCAGAAAAGUCCGCUGUGAAAACUCGAGGCUCAACUUCGAGCUGUCGGUGGAAACUUUCUGGCUAGAGUCCGGAAGAGGAGAAUGGAAUUCCUGGUGUAGCGGCGAAAUGCGCAGAUAUCAGGAAGAACACCCGUGGCGAAGGCGGUUCUCUGGGACGGUACUGACGCUGAGGUGCGAAAGCGUGGGGAGCAAACAGG